GUCCUAGCCCUAAACGAUGCUCAUUAGAUGUGGGAGGUAUCGACCCCUUCCGCGUCGAAGCUAACGCAUUAAAUGAGCCGCCUGGGGAGUACGGCCGCAAGGUUGAAACUCAAAGGAAUUGACGGGGGCCCGCACAAGCGGUGGAGCAUGUGGUUUAAUUCGACGCAACGCGAAGAACCUUACCUGGGCUUGAACUACUCGUGGUAGUUCGCUGGAAACAGUGGACGACCCGCAAGGGAGCGAGCAGAGGUGCUGCAUGGUUGUCGU
rnacentral:rRNA from 1 species